UACGUAGGGGGCGAGCGUUGUCCGGAGUUACUGGGCGUAAAGCGCACGCAGGCGGUCUGCUAAGUUUGGAGUGACAGUUGGUGGCUUAACUGCCAAAGUGCUUCGAAAACUGACAGACUUGAGGGCUUCAGAAGGGACACGGAAUUCCGGGGUGGAGUGGUGAAAUGCGUAGAGAUCCGGAGGAACACCAAAGGCGAAGGCAGUGUCCUGGGGAGUACCUGACGCUCGAGGUGCGAAAGCCAGGGGAGCGAACGGG
rnacentral:rRNA from 1 species